rnacentral:rRNA from 1 species
AACGAACGCUGGCGGCAUGCCUAACACAUGCAAGUCGAACGAGGCCUUCGGGUCUAGUGGCGCACGGGUGCGUAACGCGUGGGAACCUGCCCUUAGGUUCGGAAUAACUCCCCGAAAGGGGUGCUAAUACCGGAUAAUGUCUUCGGACCAAAGAUUUAUCGCCUUUGGAUGGGCCCGCGUUGGAUUAGCUAGUUGGUAGGGUAAAAGCCUACCAAGGCGACGAUCCAUAGCUGGUCUGAGAGGAUGAUCAGCCACACUGGGACUGAGACACGGCCCAGACUCCUACGGGAGGCAGCAGUGGGGAAUAUUGGACAAUGGGCGAAAGCCUGAUCCAGCAAUGCCGCGUGAGUGAUGAAGGCCUUAGGGUUGUAAAGCUCUUUUAGCCGGGAUGAUAAUGACAGUACCGGGAGAAUAAGCCCCGGCUAACUCCGUG